rnacentral:rRNA from 1 species
AGACCCGAAACCCGGUGAUCUAGCCAUGGGCAGGUUGAAGGUUGGGUAACACUAACUGGAGGACCGAACCGACUAAUGUUGAAAAAUUAGCGGAUGACCUGUGGCUGGGGGUGAAAGGCCAAUCAAACCGGGAGAUAGCUGGUUCUCCCCGAAAGCUAUUUAGGUAGCGCCUCGUGAAUUCAUCUCCGGGGGUAGAGCACUGUUUCGGCUAGGGGGCCAUCCCGGCUUACCAACCCGAUGCAAACUGCGAAUACCGGAGAAUGUUAUCACGGGAGACACACGGCGGGUGCUAACGUCCGUCGUGAAGAGGGAAACAACCCAGACCGCCAGCUAAGGUCCCAAAGUCAUGGUUAAGUGGGAAACGAUGUGGGAAGGCCCAGACAGCCAGGAUGUUGGCUUAGAAGCAGCCAUCAUUUAAAGAAAGCGUAAUAGCUCACUGGUCGAGUCGGCCUGCGCGGAAGAUGUAACGGGGCUAAACCAUGCACCGAAGCUGCGGCAGCGAACGUAUCACCCAAGACAACUUUACGGAGUUGACGAUUGACGGAGCGAAGCGACGUCAAAGCGUUCAUUAAAGUCGAGUUGGCUUAGGGAUACGUUCGUUGGGUAGGGGAGCGUUCUGUAAGCCUGCGAAGGUGGCCUGUGAGGGUUGCUGGAGGUAUCAGAAGUGCGAA